rnacentral:RNase_P_RNA from 1 species
GCAGACUAUGCGGUAGCGGAAACGUUUGAGUUUAUGAGGAAAGUCCGGGCAUCAUAGGGCAGGGUAGCUGCUAACGGCAGCCGAGGGCGACCUUAGGGCAAGUGCAACAGAGAUAUACUGCCUCCUCGUGAGGUGAUGGUGGAAAGGCGAGGUAAGAGCUCACCAGAGUACAGGAGACUGUACUGCUAUGUAAACCCUAUCCGAUGCAACGUCUAUUGGUGCUUUAUAUCUUAACGUCUGCCCGGCGGAUAUAAAGUAAUGACGGCUUGAGCCUGUCGGCGACGGCAGGCGUAGAUAAAUUACCGCACACGACAGAACCCGGCUUAUCGGUCUGGUCA